rnacentral:rRNA from 1 species
CCUACGGGAGGCAGCAGUGGGGAAUUUUGGACAAUGGGCGAAAGCCUGAUCCAGCAAUGCCGCGUGAGUGAAGAAGGCCUUCGGGUUGUAAAGCUCUUUUGUCAGGGAAGAAACGGUGAGGGCUAAUAUCCCUUGUCUAAUGACGGUACCUGAAGAAUAAGCACCGGCUAACUACGUGCCAGCAGCCGCGGUAAUACGUAGGGUGCAAGCGUUAAUCGGAAUUACUGGGCGUAAAGCGUGCGCAGGCGGUUUUGUAAGUCUGAUGUGAAAUCCCCGGGCUCAACCUGGGAAUUGCAUUGGAGACUGCAAGGCUAGAAUCUGGCAGAGGGGGGUAGAAUUCCACGUGUAGCAGUGAAAUGCGUAGAUAUGUGGAGGAACACCGAUGGCGAAGGCAGCCCCCUGGGUCAAGAUUGACGCUCAUGCACGAAAGCGUGGGGAGCAAACAGGAUUAGAUACCCCUGGUAGUCCACGCCCUAAACGAUGUCUACUAGUUGUCGGGUCUUAAUUGACUUGGUAACGCAGCUAACGCGUGAAGUAGACCGCCUGGGGAGUACGGUCGCAAGAUUAAAACUCAAAGGAAUUGACGG